rnacentral:lncRNA from 1 species
AGUUUCCAACAUAUGGUCCAACAUGUGGCCAAAGAAAGGCUGAGGGUGUCUGGUUCCCCCACUCUGGCCAGCUGCCCAAAGUAGGGAGUGGAGACACUGAUAUAUGUCCCAAGUGACCCAAACCUUGAGAACCUUUUAACUCUUCUUCCAAGAGCCUCAUACAAAACAGUCCACAUUUACCCUAAAUGGCCCAUUUGAAAAGGGCCACCU